UGAUUAAUAUAAGAGGUCCCGCCUGCCCUGUGACUUAGUUUAACGGCCGCGGUAUCAUAACCGUGCGAAGGUAGCAUAAUAAAUUGUUCUCUAAAUAGGGACUAGUAUGAAAGGCACCACGAGGGCUUAACUGUCUCCCUUUUCCAAUUAAUGAAACUGAUCUUCUCGUGAAGAAGCGAGAAUAUGAAUAUAAGACGAGAAGACCCCAUGGAGCUUUAAACUUAUCACCAUUUACUUUUGUUUAUAUCAUUACAUGUAGUAAAAAUGUUACCUGAUAGUUUUCGGCUGGGGUGACCCUGGAGAAAAAUAAAUCCUCCAGGAUGAACGGAUAUAAAAUCCUUAUCAAAGAGCUACAGCUCUAAGAAUCAAUAUAUUGACAUUAUUUGAUCCAAUUAAUUGAUCAACGAACCAAGUUACCCUGGGGAUAACAGCGCAAUCCAUUUCAAGAGCCCUUAUCGACAAAUGGGUUUACGACCUCGAUGUUGGAUUGGGGUAUCCCAGUGGCGCAGUCGCUACUAAAGGUUCGUUUGUUCAACGAUUAAUAACCCC
rnacentral:rRNA from 1 species